rnacentral:rRNA from 2 species
AACUUUCAAUAACGGAUCUCUUAAUUCUAAUAUUAAUAAAGAACGUAGCGAAAUAUAAUAAAUAAUAUAAAUUACAAAAUUCAAUAAAUUAUCGAAUCUUUAAACGUAUAUUAUACUUAUUAAUAUUCUAAUAAAUAUACCUAUUUGAGCGUUA